rnacentral:rRNA from 1 species
CGUGUUGCUUGAUAGUGCAGCUCUAAGUUGGUGGUAAACUCCAUCUAAGGCUAAAUAUGACCACGAGACCGAUAGCGAACAAGUACCGUGAGGGAAGGUUGAAAAGAACUUUGAAGAGAGAGUUCAAGAGUACGUGAAACCGUUCAGGGGUAAACCUGAGAAACCCAAAAGAUCGAAUGGGGAGAUUCAUCGUCAGCGUGGCUGGCUUCCGUGCGGUUCGCGAUGGCCGGGACCUCGGUCUCGCGUCACGCGUCCGCUGCGGUAUGUCCGGCUGCGUCGGCGUGCACUUCUCCCCUAGUAGGACGUCGCGACCCGUUGGGUGUCGGACCGAUGGCCGUCUGGUCGCCUGUUACGUCCGCGUUCACGCGUGCACGUGGCAGACCGAAAUGGCCGAGCGUCCGGCUGCCCGGCGGUAUAGAACGCUAUUGAACGGUAAUGAGCCGCAUUAAGUGCGUUCAGGCUCGUCGGCAGGCUCGUCUCGCCCGGAUUUACGGACCCAGCGCCGUUGCCGGGUGCUUGGCGUGGCUGUUAGUCGGCGAUGUCCUCGGACUGGCUCUAAAAUUCGAAAGGAUUACCGGUCGGCGACGCUACUGCUUUGGGUACUUUCAGGACCCGUCUUGA